rnacentral:lncRNA from 1 species
AAAAAUGAUAAUAGUCAAAUUCCAGAGGCCCUCUGCGAUAGCCCUAUCUCAUGGAGAAGCCCAAUUUUCCAUUUGUAAAAAUUUAGUAACCCAACACGAAGUUGGUGUAUCGCGUCAGUGGCCCAAAUGGAAAAACUAUCGGGCACCGUGAUAGCUCUGUGUCACGGUGAAAGCCCAGUUCCCACUCGUCAUUUUCUACUGAGCCUCCGCAAUAGUGGCGCAUCGCGGUGGCCAACCAAAUUAAAAAA